GACGAACGCUGGCGGCGUGCUUAACACAUGCAAGUCGAACGGAAAGGCCCUGCUUUUGUGGGGUGCUCGAGUGGCGAACGGGUGAGUAACACGUGAGUAACCUGCCCUUGACUUUGGGAUAACUUCAGGAAACUGGGGCUAAUACCGGAUAGGAGCUCCUGCUGCAUGGUGGGGGUUGGAAAGUUUCGGCGGUUGGGGAUGGACUCGCGGCUUAUCAGCUUGUUGGUGGGGUAGUGGCUUACCAAGGCUUUGACGGGUAGCCGGCCUGAGAGGGUGACCGGGCACAUUGGGACUGAGAGACGGCCCAGACUGCUACGGGAGGCAGCAGUGGGGAAUAUUGCACAAUGGGCGGAAGCCUGAUGCAGCAACGCCGCGUGCGGGAUGACGGCCUUCGGGUUGUAAACCGCUUUCGCCUGUGACGAAGCGUGAGUGACGGUAAUGGGUAAAGAAGCACCGGCUAACUACGUG
rnacentral:rRNA from 1 species